AUUGAACGCUGGCGGCAGGCCUAACACAUGCAAGUCGAGCGGAUGAAGGGAGCUUGCUCCUGGAUUCAGCGGCGGACGGGUGAGUAAUGCCUAGGAAUCUGCCUGGUAGUGGGGGAUAACGUCCGGAAACGGGCGCUAAUACCGCAUACGUCCUGAGGGAGAAAGUGGGGGAUCUUCGGACCUCACGCUAUCAGAUGAGCCUAGGUCGGAUUAGCUAGUUGGUGGGGUAAAGGCCUACCAAGGCGACGAUCCGUAACUGGUCUGAGAGGAUGAUCAGUCACACUGGAACUGAGACACGGCCCAGACUCCUACGGGAGGCAGCAGUGGGGAAUAUUGGACAGUGGGCGAAAGCCUGAUCCAGCCAGGCCGCGUGUGUGAAGAAGGUCUUCGGAUUGUAAAGCACUUUAAGUUGGGAGGAAGGGCAGUAAGUUAAUACCUUGCUGUUUUGACGUUACCAACAGAAUAAGCACCGGCUAACUUCGUG
rnacentral:rRNA from 1 species